rnacentral:rRNA from 1 species
GAUGAACGCUGGCGGCGUGCCUAACACAUGCAAGUCGAACGGAAAGGCCCUGCUCUUGCGGGGCUCUCGUUUGGCGAACGGGUGAGUAACACGCGUGUAACCCGUCCCUGUCUUUGGGAUAACUCUAGGAAACUGGGGCUAAUACCGGAUAGGAUCUCUUGCUGCACGUGGGGGGAUGGAAAGUUUCGGCGGUUGGGGAUGGACUCGCUGCUUAUCAGCUUGUUUGUGGAGUAGUUGCUUACCAAGGCUUUGACGGGUAGCCGGCCUGAGAGGGUGACCGGCGACAUUGGGACUGAGAUACGGCGCAGACUCCUACGGGAGGCAGCAGUGGAGAAUAUUGCGCAGUGGGCGGAAGCCUGAUGCGGCAGCGCCGCGUGCGUAAUGACGGCCUUCGGGUGGUGAACCGCUUUCGCCUGUAACGAGGCGUGAGUGACGGUAAUGGGUAAAAAAGCACCGGCUAACUACGUG